GGAGAGAUGGCUGAGCGGUCGAAGGCGGCGGUCUCGAAAACCGUUAACGGGAUAUUCCCGUUCGGGGGUUCGAAUCCCCCUCUCUCCGCCA
rnacentral:tRNA from 1 species